rnacentral:rRNA from 1 species
GUGAGGAAUAUUGGUCAAUGGGCGCAAGCCUGAACCAGCCAUGCCGCGUGCAGGAAGACGGUCCUAUGGAUUGUAAACUGCUUUUAUUUGGGAAUAAACUCCGGUACGUGUACCGGCCUGAAGGUACCAAAUGAAUAAGCACCGGCUAACUCCGUGCCAGCAGCCGCGGUAAUACGGAGGGUGCAAGCGUUAUCCGGAAUCAUUGGGUUUAAAGGGUCCGCAGGCGGUCUUAUAAGUCAGUGGUGAAAGCCUACAGCUCAACUGUAGAACUGCAAUGGAUACUGUAGGACUUGAAUUCGAUCGAAGUGGGCGGAAUGUGACAUGUAGCGGUGAAAUGCUUAGAUAUGUCACAGAACACCGAUAGCGAAGGCAGCUCACUAGGUCUGGAUUGACGCUCAGGGACGAAAGCGUGGGGAGCAAACAGGAUUAGAUACCCUAGUGUCC